rnacentral:lncRNA from 1 species
GCUACAUCAGACUGCAGCGGCAAAGAGCCAUCCUCUAUAAGCAGCUCAAAGUACCUCCUGUCAUCAUCCAGUUCACCCAGGCCCUGGACAGGCAAACAGCGACUCAUCUGCUUGAGCUCGACCACCAAGUACAGGCCAGAGACAAAGCAGGAGAAGAAGCAAAGGCUUCUGGCCCAUGCUGAGAAGAAAGCUGCUGGCAAAGGGGACGUCCCAACUGAGAGACCACCUGUCCUCCGAGCAGGGGUCAAUACAGUCACCUCCUUGGUGGAGAACAAGAA